GAUGAACGCUAGCUACAGGCUUAACACAUGCAAGUCGAGGGGUAACGAGAGGAAAGCUUGCUUUCCUUGUCGACGACCGGCGCACGGGUGAGUAACGCGUAUCCACCCUGCCCCCAACUACAGAAUAACCUUGCGAAAGUAAGACUGAUAACUUAUAAUUUCCUAAGAUGUCAUCGGACGAGGAAUAAAGAUUUAUCGAUUGUGGAGGGGGAUGCGUCUGAUUAGCUUGUUGGCGGGGUGCCGGCCCACCAAGGCAACGAUCAGUAGGGGGUCUGAGAAGAAGGUCCCCCACAGUGGAACUGAGACACGGGCCAAACUCCUACGGGAGGCAGCAGUGAGGAAUAUUGGUCAAUGGGCGGAAGCCUGAACCAGCCAAGUAGCGUGCAGGAUGACGGCCCUAUGGGUUGUAAACUGCUUUUAUACAGGAAUAAAGUUAGCCACGUGUGGUUAUUUGUAGGUACUGUAUGAAUAAGGACCGGCUAAUUCCGUGCCAGCCGCCGCCGUAA
rnacentral:rRNA from 1 species